GACGAACGCUGGCGGCGUGCUUAACACAUGCAAGUCGAACGGAAAGGCCCUGCUUUUGUGGGGUUCUCGAUGGCCGAACGGGGGAGUAACACGUGAGUAACCGGCCCUUGACUUUGGGAUAACUUCAGGAAACUGGGGCUAAGCCCGGAUAGGAGCUCCUGCUCCAUGGUGGGGGUUGGAAAGUUUCGGCGGGAGGGGAUGGACUCGCGGCUUAUCGGCUUGUUGGUGGGGUAGUGGCUUACCAAGGCUUGGACGGGUAGCCGGCCUGAGAGGGUGACCGGCCACAAUGGGCCUGAGGGACGGCCCAGAGUCGUACGGGAGGCAGUAGGGGGGAAUAUUGCCCAAUGGGCGGAAGCGUGAUGCAGAAACGCCGCGUGCGGGAAGACGGCCUUCGGGGUGAAAACAGCUGUCGCUUGAGACGAAGCGGGAGUGACGGUAAUGGGUAAAGAAGCACCGGCUAACUACGUG
rnacentral:rRNA from 1 species